rnacentral:lncRNA from 1 species
CUGCUUUCAGUUGCCACACAGUGUGUCUCUUCAAGCCCCGAUGACAGGCCAACCAUGCACAGGGUUGUUCAGAUUCUUGAAUCUGAAGUCAUGACACCAUGUCCAAGCGACUUCUAUGAUUCAAACUCUGACUGAAUGCGCUAUUGCUGGAUGCGAAGAACGUUAACCUUUGAGUUUGCAUCUGCAACUUCAUGCAAUAAAUUGAGGAGUGCGACUUCUAUGAUUCAAACUCUGAUUGAAUGCGCUAUUGCUGGAUGUGAAGAACGUUAACCUUUGAGUUUGCAUCUGCAACUUCAUGCAAUAAAUUGAGGAGUGAUGCAAGCAUUGGGGUUUCAAGUCUGCAAAGAUUCUUUUCUCUACUCUAUUUGUCGAUUCUUUCUGCAGAUUUGUGACAAAAGAACACCAUUUCA